rnacentral:rRNA from 1 species
UGGAAAGCUUGGCGAUACAGGGUGAUAGCCCCGUAACCGACGCUUCAUCGAGCGUGAAAUCGAGUAGGGCGGGACACGUGAUAUCCUGUCUGAAUAUGGGGGGACCAUCCUCCAAGGCUAAAUACUCCUGACUGACCGAUAGUGAACCAGUACCGUGAGGGAAAGGCGAAAAGAACCCCUGUGAGGGGAGUGAAAUAGAACCUGAAACCGUGUACGUACAAGCAGUAGGAGCACCUUCGUGGUGUGACUGCGUACCUUUUGUAUAAUGGGUCAGCGACUUAUAUUCAGUGGCAAGGUUAACCGUAUAGGGGAGCCGUAGCGAAAGCGAGUCUUAACUGGGCGCUCAGUCUCUGGAUAUAGACCCGAAACCGGGUGAUCUAGCCAUGGGCAGGUUGAAGGUUGAGUAACAUCAACUGGAGGACCGAACCGACUAAUGUUGAAAAAUUAGCGGAUGACUUGUGGCUAGGGGUGAAAGGCCAAUCAAACUCGGAGAUAGCUGGUUCUCCCCGAAAGCUAUUUAGGUAGCGCCUCGGACGAAUACUACUGGGGGUAGAGCACUGUUAAGGCUAGGGGGUCAUCCCGACUUACCAACCCUUUGCAAACUCCGAAUACCAGUAAGUACUAUCCGGGAGACACACGGCGGGUGCUAACGUCCGUCGUGGAGAGGGAAACAACCCAGACCGCCAGCUAAGGUCCCAAAGUAUUGCUAAGUGGGAAACGAUGUGGGAAGGCUCAGACAGCUAGGAUGUUGGCUUAGAAGCAGCCAUCAUUUAAAGAAAGCGUAAUAGCUCACUAGUCGAGUCGGCCUGCGCGGAAGAUGUAACGGGGCUAAGCA